GUUAGGUUAGGCUUAAAGGGGAGACCUAUGUGAGAUAAGGUCCAGGUCAAAAGGACCUUAAAUGCUACGGAAAGAAAUCUCCAUUUUAUUUUUUGGUGGUAAUGGGGAUCCAUUGAAGGUUUCAGCGUAGAUCUGAUCCAGUUUCACUAGGAAAUUGGGAAAUCUAGUGCAUUAGGGAGAAUUGGGAAAUCUUCCUAGUGCACUAAGAAGAUAAUGGAAAACAGAAUUUAAAAUGGAUUGGAGGGCACAGCUGCGUGACUCAGUGGAGAGAGAACCAUGCCUGGAGACAGGAGGUCUUGGAUUCAUAUAUGGCCUCAGAUAUUUCCUAGCUAUUUGGCUUUGGGUUCACAGCACAUAUUUUUGUUGUUGAAAAGAAUUUCCAGAACAAAAAACAUUGAAACCACUGGACCAGGCUGAGAUUUCUGUGAUUCACUGAUAAAUGAUUAGAAACAGCAGAGACAACUUUGCCAUCACCCCUAAGAAGCCCACCUUCUCAUCCUGAAAUUGAAAAGCUGGGGAGAACCAGAUUUGUGAUUUUAUUGAUAUAUGGAUCUCCUAGCUCAUUUUACAGAUGAGGAAACUGAGGCCAAUGGAGUAAAAUGACUUGCCCAGGGUCACACAAUUCUAAGACUUGGAGCUGGAAGGGAUCACAGGGGCUGUCUUGGCCAAGCCCUUCAUCUUGCCUAGUGAAGUUGGUAAUUUAAUAGUAUUUCACAUUUAUAGAAGGCUUUAAGGUUUGCAGAACUCUUGCAGAAAAAACAACCCUUAUCUCCUGUCUUAGAACUGUAAAGGAUAAUUUUAGCGUUGUGACUUAAAAUCUAAAUUUAAUUGGUCACCAGGGAAAAUUCCAAAUAAUAAAAUACCCAAGUCAGCUGGAAAUUUUAUGGUGAUUUAAUUGAUAUAGUGGAGGAGAUUAAGAAGAAGGAAGAAGGAAAGGGAGUAGGAUUUCUCCCUUUUGGCUAGAACCGGGCAGGAAGAUUAGGAGAUCUAGAAAGUAAGGUUUUGGAGUGUAAAGGAGGAAGUUAUCAACCUGAACUCCAAAAGGGCUCAGCCAAGAUGCCUGAACCUGAAUCAUCUCAAGGGCAAACCCAGACAAAUAACUGCCACCACUCCAAGAUGUCGGAACGCCUAGCACGCUGCCAGCCAGAGUCACCUUUCCAGGGAAAGAGGGCAAAGAGAGCCAGUGAUGUGCCUUAUAUAGUCACUUUCCUGCAUCUCAUCUGUACCAAUGAUAGCUUAGCUUGACUUAGGAUAGACUUAGGGGUCUGUCCACUGUUUUCUGCACAUGUCUGUUGAAGGCCAUUUUCUCAGAUAAUUAAAUCUUUGAGUAUGGAACAGACAUUCCUGACCUUGUUAAACUGAGUAGGGUGGAGAAAUGUAGAGUUCUCAAGACUUGAUUCUAUUAAACCAAGUAUCGCCAUUUUUACUAAUCAGGAAAUAGCUAAAUCAGAUCUUCUAAAGUAUGGUGUGUUAGGGUGGAAGAGUUUUAAAAUUCACAGAACCUAUACUAAGUAUUGAUUCUAAGCCUAAAG